GUUGGGGACAGCCUCCUGUGAUGACCCUUCUCUCUCUGAUGGCUGUGGUGGUGAUGAUCAUCAAACAAAAGCCUCUAAGAAGUUGUCUGAAGGGGCCGUCCCUCU
rfam:Apaloderma vittatum contig1648, whole genome shotgun sequence.